rnacentral:lncRNA from 1 species
AAAAGUUUUAAAUAAAUUGGUAGGUUAGAAAAAAUUGUAGGGGAUGGGGUGGGUUUACCUAAAUGGAGGCGACAUUACUAACUCACCAUGACAUAUAUACAUGUAUGCGCCGAUUCAUAUAUAAUGCCCAGAACAAAUAAGAGGUUCAUCAUAGAAAAAGUGAAACAGAAAAAAUGGAGCAUAGCCAAAAAACAAAAACUAAAAAC